rfam:Kluyvera intestini strain GT-16 tig00000000, whole genome shotgun sequence.
GUCAUACUACGGCGCAUCGACCCGGAAAGUAAACGAUGACCCAUAGUGAACUUCCGGGUAAAAUGCGUAUCAAAUUGAAAAAUUACUGCUGACCUCGGGGCUUUGUCUCCGGGUCAGUUUUCUUG